rnacentral:lncRNA from 1 species
CGAUUUCUUCUUCUUUAAAACAAGAUUGGCAACGUAAGCUGUGUUUUGUUUACAUCUUUUUCUAUGAAAUUGAUAAAUUUUUUGGUUAUGUUUUGGUCUUUUUUAUUUAUGUCGCUGCCGUGUUAAAUUUCAGUGAUUCUCUCUCCUCUUCUAUCUGAAAUUUAUUUCACGUGAGUAACUCUUUAUUGCUAAUAUUAAGUACAUUCAUCAAAUCUUCAUCACUGACACUUUUACACCUGUUGACGACUCGCUUACUUGCUGAGCGGAACAUGAGUGAACAGUUCCUUAUGAAAGCGCUGAAGCAUGGCUGACAGAAUUUUAUAUUGAGGUCCCUAAUUGAAAGAUUUUAUUUUGAUACUUUCAGUGUGGAUCAUUGCAGUUCAUGCAGGUGUUCGUUAUUGGCGGAGAUUCAUUCCGUUUUGGAGAAGUGAACGAUUUAUGUGGCAUCACUGUUGGAAAUCACUCCAUUUUGAAUGAUUCUGAAACAAGUAUUCAAGAUGAAGGAGAAACCCAAAAGUGAAUAUUCCUGAGUAGUUAGUUACUCAAUACAACUCUUGUAUGAACAGUCAGAAGCAAAGAAAUUUAUCUAGUCCAAUUUGUGUUCAUCG